rnacentral:lncRNA from 1 species
GUGUAUAAUUCGGAGUUUAGUAUGACGUCCAUUAUCACUGUACUAUUAUGCAUAUUUUAGGGGCCAGCUGAAGGACACCUACGGGUGCGGGAAUUCUCGCUACAUUGAAGACCCAUUGGUUGCCUUCGGCUGUUGUUUGCUCUAUGGUCGGGUGGUUGUCGCUUUGACAUAUUCACCAUUUCCUUUCUCAAUUUAAUACAU